UACGUAGGGUGCGAGCGUUGUCCGGAAUUAUUGGGCGUAAAGGGCUCGUAGGCGGUUUGUCGCGUCGGGAGUGAAAACCAGGUGCUUAACACCUGGCUUGCUUUCGAUACGGGCAGACUAGAGGUAUGCAGGGGAGAACGGAAUUCCUGGUGUAGCGGUGAAAUGCGCAGAUAUCAGGAGGAACACCGGUGGCGAAGGCGGUUCUCUGGGCAUGACCUGACGCUGAGGAGCGAAAGUGUGGGGAGGCGAACAGG
rnacentral:rRNA from 1 species